UGCCUGCCUGAGCGUUCCUGCCUGCCUGAGACUUCUCCUCCCGCCUCGCCUGGCCUGGAUAGAUUCUGCAGCAGGAGCCCCUGGUGCUCUGUUCCAAGGGACUGCUACACCUAUUAACACCUUUUGUGCAGACCUGAAUACCUCUUUACGAUUCUCCUACAGCUUCUGAGAGUGAGCGAGAGCAUGGGCCGCUGGACCAAGUCAGCCUGACUGUCUGGAGAUUGCUCAACCUCCAUGCAGUCUGGAGCACAAAUCUCUGCAUGAAUACACUCCAGUAUGGUAAUGAGAAAAACUCCGUCUGCAGCGGAGUAGAUUAAAAUGUGCACAGUCCUCAGUUGCUUCAAGAUCAUGCAAGACUCAAGAGAAGCUACUAAAUAGAUGAACUUUUGGUAAACUUUCACUUUCUUAGUGAACUAGGGAAGUUUAGGAAAUCUUUUGUCCUCUUUAUAACAAACUCCCAAAGUGGGAAGGGAAAAUGGAAAAGUUCAAUUAUUCCUGAAAACAGGAAUUUGUUUUUGUUUUUAAACCAAGCAUACAGACACUUGAACCCUUACCUCCUUCCCUACCUAGUCUCUUAUUUUCCUUUCAGAUUGAGCUAGCUCACUUUUCUCUGUACACCAGUGUGGGAACGGAGUGUAGAAGAAUAAUAACAGAUGGAUUGUGACCUUGGUUCUCACAAGCAGCUGGGUAACUUAUCUCAGAAAGGACAGAUAACGGACACCUCGUGAAUGAGGAAAACAAGGUGUGGUUUAUGCUGAUGGAAUGGGUUGUCCUUGACUAUGCUAAUGUGUAGGUGUGUGCCUUAUGCCUUGAGGGUAUAUAUUGAGAGCCGAAAUGAUCAAUAAAUGUCUCUGGCAUAAUUCA